rnacentral:siRNA from 1 species
AACCCUAACCUUGUACUCCUAUA